AUUGAACGCUGGCGGCAGGCCUAACACAUGCAAGUCGAGCGAGCGGCGGACGGGUGAGUAAUGUAUGGGGACUGCCCGAUAGAGGGGGAUAACUACUGGAAACGGUGGAUAAUACCGCAUACUAUCGGAUAACCCAUAUGGGAUUAGCUAGUAGGUGGGGUAAAGGCUCACUUAGGCGACGAUGUCUAGCUGGUCUGAGAGGAUGAGCAGACACACUGGGACUGAGACACGGCCCAGACUCCUACGGAGGCAGCAGUGUGGAAUAUUGCACAAUUGGGGCAAGCCUGAUGCAGCCAUGCCGCGUGUAUGAAGAAGGCCUUCGGGUUUUAAAGUACUUUCAGUCGGGAGGCGUUACCGACAGAAGAUGCACCGGCUAACUCCGUGCCAGCAGCCGCGGUAAUUC
rnacentral:rRNA from 1 species